rnacentral:lncRNA from 1 species
AACCACUGACAGCUCUGUAAACAAGGCAAGGACAAAAAGAGCCCGCUUCCCCUUUUCUGGUAGUCAUUUUGGGUUUGGGGGCUGCGGGGAAUUCUGGAAUACUUGACUCCAUGGCACAGAAACUCAGGAAAAGCGGACUCCUCAGUUGAAGAGCUGGAAAGGGAAGAUCUUUCUGGGACUAAAACCAUCACGGAGGAGGCAUUAUCUGGUCUCCCUAAACCUGAACCCACACCAUGGACGAUUUUGAACGUCGCAGAGAACUUAGGAGACAAAAGCGGGAGGAGAUGCGCCUGGAAGCAGAAAGGUAAAGAUCUAGGUUUAAAAAUGUCUCUCUUCUGUCAUCCACAAUUUUGGUUUCGGGCCUCAAAUAUCAUCAGUCUGAAGAGUCAAGUGUAUUGCACACUAAACUGUUUACAAAAGCAGUUAUGGAAAGUGUUCCUCACUGUGCAGAUAAUAUCAAGAAAAAGAAAAUGGGGAAGGAUCCAAUAGUUGCAUUUAAUCAGUGUCUUUCAUAUUAGUAUUUUUACAGGACAAAGGCCUAGAAAUUUUAAAGGCAUUUAUAAUAUUGAAAUGUCAGGAAAAUGACAAAUAUUGAGUACUGAAACCAUUUAGGAAAUAGAAGUCUUAAAUUGAAAAGAAUAAAGGCAAUAAGACCUACAUUAAUCUUAUGACAAAUCUGUGUUCUUACUAGAAAAGCUGCCAAAUCCAGGAAUUCACAUAUGAUGGGUUAGUAACCAGUAGAGUAUGUUACUGUGGUGACUCUGAGGCUUCUGUUGUGGUGACUUACAAGGGCAGGUUGGGGAAAUAAAGCCAUGACAUAUGAGGCACGGGGUCUAAGUGUAUAUUUUAAAGCUUUAGGCCUCAGAGGAAAAGCAGCAGCAUUUAAUGUGGCUUAAAUCAGAUGUUCUUUUGAGAAAGCAGAAUAAGCCUUCACAGGAAGAAGUAUCUUAAACAAUGACCUUAAAAUCAAAUCAAUUUUGCCUCGUAAUAAUUCCAAUGCACAAAUAAAAAGGUGGUAGUAAGAUGAUCCCUUAGUGAUUCUGCAACAGAAAACUUAAAAGGGUCUACUUACUUGUAUGGAGAAUUCAAAAGAAGGUAAAAGUACUGCCUUUGAUUGAUUUGGUCAGAGUAGGCUGCAGUCCACGGCACAAGGUACCAGGAACAGUAUGCGAGCUCUGUAGAUUCCAAUCCCAGCUCUGCCACUUUUGAGCUGUGUGGCCAUGAGCAUGUGACGUCUCUUUAAGCCACAGCUGCCUUAUUUGUAAAACAAGCGUAAUAUCUACGUAGCUUCUGUGGUUUUCGUGGAGAUUAUUGAACGUCAUAAGUGGCCUGUCCUAGUACCUGGCACCUAAACGGUGUGUUAUUUUUUUUAAAUUAUUCUCAUCAACUAAACAAGGAAGAAACAUAGCAAUGUAGCCAGCGCUAAAAACUAAUGCCAAGGAAAGAAAAAGCAAUUAUCCUCCCGUGAUGAAACCAGUCAGGAAAGGCUCUCCGGAAGUGAGAGAAGAUGAGCCAUGGGGGAAUUAAGGAUGGUGCUGAUGAGUAAAAACGGAGCCGUGUGUAUGAGGGGGUGACAUCUGCAAAAGCUCAGAGGUGGAAAUAAGGAUCCUGUUGGAAGACACCUGUUGAGUGCUCGGGGAAGAAUGAGUUGCGCAUCAUGGAUGAUUUUUAUUUCACAUAAAAGACAAGAGAUGGAGACUUAGCAGAGCUCUGUGUGAUGAAAAUGUGUUGGGGAAGGUCACCUAGAAUGACUGGAAUAUGGGGAUACUAGGAGGGUGAGUAUUGAACAUACGGUGAUGAAGACGGAAUCAGGGCAGCGUAUAUGGAAAGGAAGAUCAAAUAUGCACGAGCCUCCUUAGAGGGAGAGUUAGCAAAUCUUGUAGGAGAGGGAGAAGCUCAAAGAAAAUUCCAAAGAAUGUAAGACUGAAGAGCUGGAAGUCUAUAUUAAUCCUCUUGGGUUAUUAUAUUCCAUCUGAUUCCUUUUCUUAUCUUUUCUUUUUAGAAAAGAUAAGUGCUUUUUAAGUACUUCCUUAUAUUUUGUUCUAAGCUUACCUUUUCAUGUUUCAAGGUGAAUGCUUUAGUUCGGCUAUUUUGGAAUUUGUUAAAAGCAAGUCCAUGUGCAGCCUUUAGGAUUUUGUAAAAGCGUGGUCAUUUAUGGGAAUAGUGAAGGUCAGGCUGUAUGGUCCAGCCAACUUUGAUGAGAAAUUUCAGGGUGUGUACAGGAAACAGAUGGUCAGAAACAGAAAUGAAGGGUCAUCUAAAAUUGUGGUUUUAAUCUUAAAAGAAAGGGCAUAUAAGACCCUGGACAAGUCCCUCUUCCUUUAGCUUUAGAACUUGGCUUCUUCCUCUGUGACAGGAGUGAGAGAUUGGUGGUAAUAUUUAUUUUCCUUUGGCUUUUGGUAUUGUCUAAUUUUUUACAACAAUCGUGUACUACUUUAUUUAAAAACAAAACAAUAAGGCAGUUUUCCAUUUUGAAAAGAGAUUCUAUGGCCCAAUCCAUUAUACCUGGGACCAGAAGUAAGGAGACCAAAUUCUCCUUUGGAUUUAAGGAAUGAAAAGCAAGAACCCAGCCUUGAUCUGGAGUGGCCCCAAGGCUCAGAGCUGCAGGCUCAUUUUGAUUGGGCUUCUGCUCUGCUUUCAGCUCUAUUUUGGCACUGGGGAUAGACCAAUAGAAGGACAGAAUUAAGAAGAGUGUUCUUAAUGCUCUUCCACCUGUAUAAAACCAAGCAAUGAUCAAGAAACUACCUUUGUGUAUCCUCAAACAGGACAUGUACUCUGAUAGUCAUUGAUCAUAUUUCAAGUUGACUGAUGCCCUUUGUAUUCCUUACCCCUGCAGACAGUAUGGAGAACAUGGUAACAGGCAGAAGAGACUACUGACGUUUCCACUUCUUCCCCACAAAGCCUUUCCAAAGAAAAAUGCCCUGUUAUUUUAAUUAGUUGUUGAGCUUGACUAACAGGUGCUGUUCAGCUCCGAGUGACCCCUAGCCCAGGAACUUCCAUAUGGCUCGGGUGUAGCCCUAAAAAGACCUAAAAAGCUAGAAACAAAACAAAAAAGCUAACCAUACACUUUGUGCCAUGCUGGAUUUCCCGGGUUUGGGACUGACAGUUACAUACGGGAUCAUAGCUGCCCUGAGACUCCCGCGAACACACUGCAUCGUGAGAGUUACAGUCCAUUUCAAAUCAUCUACCCUCCAUGACCUAGACUGGGAACCUAGUUACAUCCAAAAGAUAUUUCCCUUCUUUGUCCUGCCACUUAGCCUGCACAUCUUUUUGCUAUCCACCUUGUCCUUGUCCUUCAUUUGCCUUUCAUAUCGAGUCCCUAAGAUGAGGACUUUAGAUUUGCUAAAAGGAGGUACUUUAUUUAGUCGUCAGAAAAUGUACUGAAUAUCUAUAGAGAGGGAGACACUCUGCGAAACCAUAGGAAUCAAUUCUCACUAAUUCAGGCAGUUCCCAAUAGUCACAAAGCUUGUGUCAUACAUGAAUUAGUAACUUUAGAGCCAACUUGAGCAAAAGGGGAAGAAAAAAUUUUCAGUACACAGAAUGGAUUGAACAGGUAAGCAGUGAAAAUCCUAAAUGCAUUACUCCUAAGCAAAAGGUAUUAUUUGUACACAUCUCAAAUUAAACCGUAUUUUUGGUUUUGUUGGUUUUUAAAAAUAAAUUCGAUUGAUGUAUAGUUGACUUAGUUGUGUUAGUUUCAGAUGUACAGCCAAGUAAGUCAGUUAUACAUAUACAUAUAUCCAUUUCUUUUCAGUCUUCUCCCCUAUAGGUUAUUACACAGUACUGAGUGGAUUCCGUGUGCUAGACAGUAGGUCCUUGUUACCUAUCUGUUUUAUUUAUAGCAAUGCGUAUAUGUUAGUUCCAGCCCCCAGUGUAUCCCUCCUGCCCCACAUUUCCCGUUUGGUAACUAUACAUUUCUAAGCCGUAUUUUUGAAUCGAUGAGCUAUUUGCACAAACAAAUAAUUAUCUUCACCUAUCUUAUGGGAAUAAAAAUGAAUAGGUAUCCUCUGCUUCCCUUUCUGUUUCUGUCUUUUAUUUCAGUCCCUGUCUGUCUUCAUCUCUGUAUUUCUCAGUACAUCGUGAUGUAUUUUCCCCCGGUCCAUGUGCCUCUUCACCGACACGCGAUCCAUCCGCCUGUUUCCAUUCCAUUCUCCCUCCUCUUAAUCCAUCUACCCUGGAUUGUGAGUGCAUGUGCUUUUGCAUCAUCGGGGAAUACAACAUUCUCAAAGGGGAGAAUGUAGGGGAAAGGGAUACCUUUUCGAAGAGGUCAGAUUCAGCUCUCUUCCUUUUCAGCAAGUAACCCACCUACCCCUGCCCACAUGCUGGGACUUUUGCGUGUAUCUGGCAAAGAUGGACUGAUCAUAGCACCAGUAAUGGGUAUGUCUCAAUAGGACAUAUGUUCUAUGUAAAUGAACACCAAGAGGCAUAACGACGGGAGGCAGGAGAGGUUAUUAUCAGUUAAAGGCAUGGACUUUACCGUUAGGAAACUGUGCUGUCACAUCCAAGGUCUGCCACUUAUUAGCUACCUGACCGUACAAAUUAUUCGUUCUUCCUAACCUUCUGUUUCCUCAUCUAUAAAAUGGGGGAAAGAAUAGUAUCCACUUCAUAGGGGUUUUGUGGGGAUAUAAAGAGAUAAUACAUGAAAGAAUGAACAUAUGGAGUUCUCUUCAUGGCUCAGUGGUUAAUGAACCUGAC